ACUGCCGCCGAACGGUGCGGGGCGUGAGGGUUGGGGAACCCCGCGACCGCUUCGGAUCGAGAUCGGUGCGGGUCUUAGGGAGCCCGUCCUGGUCGCUUCGGUGAAGGAG
rnacentral:sRNA from 12 species